AAGGUUUAUGAGUUUGUAUAAAAAUUAUUAUGGAUUGAUUAACAUUUUUCGAAAAAAGUGAAAAGGUUUCGUUUAACAAAAUUGAGCUUUUGGUUUUAAAUAUUUUGUGUAUUUUUCGUGUUAAAAAAAUGGUGGAAAAAGAAGAAAAGAAACUAGCCAUAGGUCGACGCGCACUUAUAUUUAAAAAAUCAUGAUUUUAAGAAAACAUUGUCUUUGUGUAAAAAAAAAUCUUUGGAAGAAAACUUUAAAGUAUAAUAAAAGGAGAAGAAUAGGAGUGUAGACAUACCUUUUUAGCUUCUGGAAUUCCCUUAGUGCUUCCUCAGUGAUUGUUGUUCACAAAACCUUUAUGUGUGAGAACAUAUUUUUUCUCUAUACUCUCUCCUUCAAUCUCUAAUAUCUCUAAGUGUUUUUCUCUAUUUUUUCCGUCCCUU
rnacentral:lncRNA from 1 species